rnacentral:misc_RNA from 1 species
UCUCCGUUGGUGAACCAGCGGAGGGAUCAUUACCGAGUCUUACAACUCCCAAACCCCUGUGAACUUAUACCUUUACUGUUGCUUCGGCGGGUUAACGCCCCGGAAGGCCCUAAAAAGCCGCCGGAACCAGGCGCCCGCCGGGGGACCUAAACUCUUGUAUUUUCUUACCUAGCAUGUCUGAGUGGAAUCAUAAACAAAUGAAUCAAAACUUUCAACAACGGAUCUCUUGGUUCUG